rnacentral:rRNA from 1 species
GACGAACGCUGGCGGCGUGCCUAAUACAUGCAAGUCGAGCGGACAGAAGGGAGCUUGCUCCCGGAAGUUAGCGGCGGACGGGUGAGUAACACGUGGGCAACCUACCCUGUAGAUCGGGAUAACAUCGAGAAAUCGGUGCUAAUACCGGAUAAUCAUUUGAAGUGCAUGCUUCGAAUGUAAAAGAUGGCUCCGGCUAUCACUACGGGAUGGGCCCGCGGCGCAUUAGCUAGUUGGUAAGGUAAUGGCUUACCAAGGCAACGAUGCGUAGCCGACCUGAGAGGGUGAUCGGCCACACUGGGACUGAGACACGGCCCAGACUCCUACGGGAGGCAGUAGUAGGGAAUCUUCCGCAAUGGACGAAAGUCUGACGGAGCAACGCCGCGUGAGUGAUGAAGGUUUUCGGAUCGUAAAGCUCUGUUGUUAGGGAAGAACAAGUGCCGUUUGAAUAAGGCGGCAUCCUGACGGUACCUAACCAGAAAGCCACGGCUAACUACGUGCCAGCAGCCGCCGCGGUAA